GCUUACGACUAUACCACGUUGAAAGCACGCCAUCCCGUCCGAUCUGGCAAGUUAAGCAAGGUUGGGCUUCCUUAGUACUUGGAACGGAGACGUCCUGGUAAUCGGCGGUGUUGUAGGAA
rnacentral:rRNA from 1 species